UACGGAGGGUGCAAGCGUUAUCCGGAUUUACUGGGUUUAAAGGGUGCGUAGGUGGGUUGGGAAGUCAGUGGUGAAAUCCUUUCGCUUAACGAAGGAACUGCCAUUGAUACUAUCAAUCUUGAAUGUAGUGGAGGUAGGCGGAAUGCGUCAUGUAGCGGUGAAAUGCUUAGAUAUGACGCAGAACACCAAUUGCGAAGGCAGCUUGCUACACUACUAUUGACACUGAGGCACGAAAGCGUGGGGAUCAAACAGG
rnacentral:rRNA from 1 species